GCCUUGAAUGAUUUUGAAAUUAUCUCAUUUCUCUUGGCUAGUUUAGGAUCUGAAUAUGAUUCAUUUGUCACAUCUGUGACCACAAGGGUUGACCCUCUAUCAAUUGAUGAACUAUAUGGGCAUCUGUUAGCCUAUGAAU